UACGUAGGGGGCAAGCGUUGUCCGGAUUUGUUGGGCGUAAAGAGCGUGUAGGCGGCCAUACAGGUCAGCUGUGAAAACUCGAGGCUCAACCUCGAGACGUCGGUUGAAACCGUUUGGCUAGAGUCCGGAAGAGGAGAGUGGAAUUCCCGGUGUAGCGGUGAAAUGCGCAGAUAUCGGGAAGAACACCCGUGGCGAAGGCGGCUCUCUGGGACGGUACUGACGCUGAGACGCGAAAGCGUGGGGAGCGAACAGG
rnacentral:rRNA from 1 species